UACGUAGGGUGCGAGCGUUAAUCGGAAUUACUGGGCGUAAAGCGUGCGCAGGCGGUUUUGUAAGCCAGAUGUGAAAUCCCCGGGCUUAACCUGGGAAUGGCAUUUGGGACUGCAAGGCUGGAGUGCGGCAGAGGAGACUGGAAUUCCGCGUGUAGCAGUGAAAUGCGUAGAUAUGCGGAGGAACACCGAUGGCGAAGGCAAUCCCCUGGACCUGUACUGACGCUCAUGCACGAAAGCGUGGGGAGCAAACAGG
rnacentral:rRNA from 1 species